UUCUACUCCUCCAUUAACACGCCUAAAAACACCAGUUUUCAUUCCAUCUCCAUCGAUUUCAGCUCAGGUUUGCUGCCAUUGAAAUGGGUGAUGUUGAUUUAAACUGGAUCAAUAUCACCACCGCUCUUCAUCUCGACCAAUCUGGAUUUCAUGCAACUGAAGAUGAUGGUUAACCGGUGAUUAACGAGACUCAGAGUGUAAAAAUUGCAGUUCCAACCUAAUCCGUCAAUCUGAUUUUAAAUCGAUCGAUUUUAUCCAGGUUAGGUUUUAUGUUAAUCAUGUCGACAAAUUUAACCUAAAAUCUGAACGAUGAUAACGAUGAACAUGGUCUAGAAGUGAUUCUGGUGUUGAAGAAAAUCAUGGUCUGUCGAUUUUGUUGAUGAGGCUGGGUUUCAGAAUGUGAAUGAUUCAGCGUCUGCAUUUGAGAAACCAUCGUUCUUAUCUGCAUCGAUCUCGUGGAAUCUGCAGAGAGGUGAAGGGAAUCCAUUGACAUUUGCACUGAUUUACCUCAGUUCAACUCUUCCAAGUUAUACAGGUUUGGGAAUUUGAUGAGGCUCAUCAGCGGUGACUACAGGUUGCAGAGUUGGCACUGGCGGGAGACAAGGGUGAUCAAGUUUAUUCUGUUGCUUGGGCACCCAAUGUUGACAGGCCAUGUGAGAUAGUAGCUGUUGCUACUCACAAGGGAAUUGCUAUGCGGCAUCUAGCGUUCUGUUAAGAAGGAGAUGAGCUGAUGGAAAUCUGUGUUUAUGGAAUUGGAGAUACAAAUGGAUGUGUGGCUGUUGCAGGUGUUUGGUCUGAACUGCAAUUAUCUGUUUGAAUGGAGAAGAUGGGUCUGUUGCGGUUGGUGUUGGCCUGAGUAUUAUAGAUGAAUGUUAGGAUUCAGGUACAAAUUCUAGGUGACAGAGAAGUGGUUUGAUGGGUUUGAAGGUGCUGGGACUGAGACUUUGAAGCCAUGAUUUGGGUGAAGGUUUCUUUAUCUCAGGUGUUGGUGGUAGUUGCAAUAGAACCAUGUGUGUGAAGUUGUUGUCUGCUGGUUUCGAACGGCAAUUCAAGAUGACGGGAGUGAAAGUUUGAGAUAAUUUUGAUGUUGGUUGAGCCCCGGAGGUGAUGCUGCUGUUAAACUAAAGAUGGAAGAAUGACUGUUUUGGUGUUGAUUGAACUGUGUUAAAUGAAUGAUAUUGCAGGGGAAGUACGGCUGAAGUACUGGUUGGAGAUUGAUGUUUGGUGAUGAGAUGACAGUUCUGGUGAUGUUGUUGCUUUGAGCUCAGCAGCAGUGACUGUUCCAGAAUCUCGACUCUUUCAUAGCGGCCGGAACAGUCAGUUGUUCACUACUUUUCUACUU